CACGGCGGGUGCUAACGUCCGUCGUGAAGAGGGAAACAACCCAGACCGCCAGCUAAGGUCCCAAAGUCAUGGUUAAGUGGGAAACGAUGUGGGAAGGCCCAGACAGCCAGGAUGUUGGCUUAGAAGCAGCCAUCAUUUAAAGAAAGCGUAAUAGCUCACUGGUCGAGUCGGCCUGCGCGGAAGAUGUAACGGGGCUAAACCAUGCACCGAAGCUGCGGCAGCGACACUAUGUGUUGUUGGGUAGGGGAGCGUUCUGUAAGCCUGUGAAGGUGGCCUGUGAGGGUUGCUGGAGGUAUCAGAAGUGCGAAUGCUGACAUAAGUAACGAUAAAGCGGGUGAAAAGCCCGCUCGCCGGAAGACCAAGGGUUCCUGUCCAACGUUAAUCGGGGCAGGGUGAGUCGACCCCUAAGGCGAGGCCGAAAGGCGUAGUCGAUGGGAAACAGGUUAAUAUUCCUGUACUUGGUGUUACUGCGAAGGGGGGACGGAGAAGGCUAUGUUGGCCGGGCGACGGUUGUCCCGGUUUAAGCGUGUAGGCUGGUUUUCCAGGCAAAUCCGGAAAACCAAGGCUGAGGCGUGAUGA
rnacentral:rRNA from 1 species